rnacentral:rRNA from 1 species
UACGUAGGUGGCAAGCGUUGUCCGGAAUUAUUGGGCGUAAAGCGCGCGCAGGCGGUCCUUUAAGUCUGAUGUGAAAGCCCACGGCUCAACCGUGGAGGGUCAUUGGAAACUGGGGGACUUGAGUGCAGAAGAGGAAAGCGGAAUUCCACGUGUAGCGGUGAAAUGCGUAGAGAUGUGGAGGAACACCAGUGGCGAAGGCGGCUUGCUGGGCUGUAACUGACGCUGAGGCGCGAAAGCGUGGGGAGCAAACAGG